CCUACGGGCGGCAGCAGUGGGGAAUCUUGCGCAAUGGGCGAAAGCCUGACGCAGCGACGCCGCGUGGGUGAUGAAGGCCUUCGGGUCGUAAAGCUCUGUGGGGAGAGACGAAUAAGACGUGGCUAACAUCCACGGCGAUGACGGUAUCUCCUUAGCAAGCACCGGCUAACUCUGUGCCAGCAGCCGCGGUAAGACAGAGGGUGCAAACGUUGUUCGGAAUUACUGGGCGUAAAGCGUGUGUAGGCGGCCAUGUAAGUUGGAUGUGAAAGCCCGGGGCUCAACCCCGGAAGUGCAUUCAAUACUGCGUGGCUUGAGUAUCGGAGAGGUUGGUGGAAUUCUCGGUGUAGAGGUGAAAUUCGUAGAUAUCGAGAGGAACACCGGUGGCGAAGGCGGCCAACUGGACGAAUACUGACGCUGAGACACGAAAGCGUGGGGAGCAAACAGGAUUAGAUACCCCAGUAGUC
rnacentral:rRNA from 1 species